GCUCACGUGCCGACUUCGUGCGUUAUGUCUGCAGCGGUGUUCAUUGUGCGGAGAGCCGCUGCUGUGUCUAGUGAUAGCCCUCAAGUCGAACAGUUCAGUGCGAGAGUUGCGCCUCGGUGACAACCGCCUGGGACCGUCGGACGCCGCGCAAAUCGCCGCGUUACUCCGGCUUAAUGCCAGGAUACAGCUGUUAGACCUCUCCAAUAACCAGAUACAGGAUACGGGUUUGGGUCACAUAGCGGACGCUUUGGUCGAGCAGGGCGCCCAAACUCCACCGUCGGCCGCCGCGUCACCCGCGUCGCCGGUAUCCCCUCA